rnacentral:rRNA from 1 species
UACGUAGGGUGCGAGCGUUAAUCGGAAUUACCGGGCGUAAAGCGUGCGCAGGCGGUUCGUUGUGUCUGAUGUGAAAGCCCCGGGCUCAACCUGGGAAUGGCAUUGGAAACUGGCGAGCUAGAGUGUGGCAGAGGGGGGUGGAAUUCCGCGUGUAGCAGUGAAAUGCGUAGAGAUGCGGAGGAACACCGAUGGCGAAGGCAGCCCCCUGGGCUGACACUGACGCUCAGGCACGAAAGCGUGGGGAGCAAACGGG